AUUGAACGCUGGCGGCAGGCCUAACACAUGCAAGUCGAACGAGUGGCGGACGGGUGAGUAAUGUCUGGGAAACUGCCCGAUGGAGGGGGAUAACUACUGGAAACGGUAGCUAAUACCGCAUACCAUCGGAUGUGCCCAGAUGGGAUUAGCUAGUAGGUGGGGUAACGGCUCACCUAGGCGGCGAUCCCUAGCUGGUCUGAGGGGAUGACCCGCCACACUGGAACUGAGACCCGGUCCAGACUCCUACGGGGGGCAGCCGUGGGGAAUAUUGCACAAUGGGCGAAAGCCUGAUGCAGCCAUGCCGCGUGUAUGAGGAAGGCCUUCGGGUUGUAAAGUACUUUCAGCGAGGAGGCGUUACUCGCAGAGGAAGCACCGGCUAACUCCGUGCCAGCAGCCGCGGUAAUUC
rnacentral:rRNA from 1 species